rnacentral:sRNA from 1 species
UCCCUUGCAUCGUGAUGACUUUCUUCAA